UCAAACAGAAAGUGUUCCCUACGCAUUAUGAUGCGGCUUUCUUCUGGGAUUUUUCUUGGACUAUUGGGUCUCCACAGGAUGGAGAAUGAAGUCUUUUAGACAGCAUCUCUGAGGAGUCCUUGCUAUUUAUUAUUUCUUUAGCCCUCUUUGACUGCAGAAAGACAGCCGUGGCAGCUAAUUUUAAACCUACGGGAUCCUGAAAGAAGUUGAACUUUCAAAUUUUCUUCACUUUAUGAUGUUUAUUCUGCAGCCAGCAGGGUACAAUAUAAUACAGAGAAUGUGUAUGUUUUGCAAUAAGGAAUACUGAAGGAGGAAAAAAAAGAUGGAGGGAAGAAAAACAUCAUCCCAUGAUACAGGAAAAUACAACCAAUGUCAUCUUCGUAUCAAGUGACUUUAGGGAGCACAGUUCCCAGAGGCUACCCCAGUCAUCUCUGCUGGAUACUGCAAGCACCUGACUUGAUAAUAUUUGCAACCUCUUGCUGUGUCUUUGUAUCUGCUGCCUGCUAUUUAUGCUUUCACUGUCCCUUGCUUAUACUUAAUAAACUCACUAAUUCUAACCAAAA